rnacentral:rRNA from 1 species
CCUACGGGAGGCAGCAGUGAGGAAUAUUGGUCAAUGGUCGCGAGCCUGAACCAGCCAAGCAGCGUGAAGGAUGACUGCCCUACGGGUUGUAAACUUCUUUUAUCAAGGAAUAAAGUGAGGCACGUGUGCCUUUUUGUAUGUACUUGAUGAAUAAGGAUCGGCUAACACCGUGCCAGCAGCCGCGGUAAUACGGAGGAUCCGAGCGUUAUCCGGAUUGAUUGGGUUUAAAGGGUGCGUAGAUGGGUUGUUAAGUCAGUUGUGAAAGUUUGGGGGUCAACCGUAAAAUUGCAAUUGAUACUGGCAGUCUUGAGUACAGUCGAGGUAUGCGGAAUGCGUGGUGUAGCGGUGAAAUGCUUAGAUAUCACGAAGAACUCCGAUUGCGAAGGCAGCUUACUAGACUGCCACUGACAUUGAUGCUCGAAAGUGUGGGUAUCAAACAGGAUUAGAUACCCCAGUAGUC